UUGCGGGCGAUUUAAGUCACCAUUUGACGCACCGUUUCUUCCUACUUAAGCCCCAUUCUCUCCCCUCUAUUUCCCCUCAAACCUCACAGAACGGGAGCCACCAGGCUGCUCGAAUUUGACCUCGCAAGUCUGCGGUACCCGUGACUUCCCGGGACGAUUCCGCGACAGAGCUAUAUUCAUCUGCGAGUACGUUCACGGGAAAAUUCUCCGGCGAGCGAUUUCCGGCGAACUACUGCGCCUUGACGUCCGCGACUUCUCCAUCGAGUUCCUCUUGCGAAAACUAACUCCGUCGUCUGCCCCACCAUCGCCAAGGAGCACCAGAACGUCAACGCCGGCGACAUCAGACGACAUUGCUGUGAGCCACCUGUGUUCCCAUUGUUUGGAUUGUCAAGAGUGCUUUUAUGACGAGUGCACCAAUCCCUCUCCUCAC